rnacentral:sRNA from 1 species
AAUAAAAUUACAUUGAAAGCGAUACCAAAAUUAGAAAGGAUGGAUGAGAAAUGGGUACAAUUGUUUGCCAGGAUUGUCAGAGAGUCAUCGAGCACUACGAGGACGAAAAGGUUUCGACUCUUUACGGUACUUGUCCUACUUGCAACUCGAAAUAAUCUAUCUUCCAGAAACCGCCGGGCUGCCCGGCGGUUUUUU